rnacentral:rRNA from 1 species
AUUGAACGCUGGCGGCAGGCCUAACACAUGCAAGUCGAACGAGUGGCGGAAGGGUGAGUAAGGUCUGGGAAACUGCCUGAUGGAGGGGGAUAAGUACUGGAAACGGUAGCUAAUAACGCAUAACAUCAGAUGUGCCCAGAGUGGAUUAGCUUGUUGGUGGGGUAACGGCUCACCAAGGAGACGAUCCCUAGCUGGUCUGAGAGGAUGACCAGCCACACUGGAACUGAGACACGGUCCAGACUCCUACGGGAGGCAGCAGUUGGGAAUAUUGCACAAUGGGCGCAAGCCUGAUGCAGCCAUGCCGCGUGUAUGAAGAAGGCCUUCGGGUUGUAAAGUACUUUCAGCGGGGAGGCGUUACCCGCAGAAGAAGCACCGGCUAACUCCGUGCCAGCAGCCGUGGUAAUUC